CGCCACUCCUUAAUAGGCGUUCCAGUCAUGGUUCCAGCGAUGUUUUAUGCAUGUGUAUUAUUCAGUAAUGUUACAUACUGAGGCGCGAUAUUUGGCUGGCAUAGAGAUCCCAUGAGUUUUCGAAAAUGGGGGUGAAGGUCCUCAGGAAGUCUGUGAGUUUUUGAACGGGGUCGCGGUGAAUGGAAUUAUGAGAAUCAUGUGCAGAUGUCAAAUCACUAGCGCAGGUAAAUGGCUCGUAUAAGGCGCGCUGGUUUGUUUGCCUUGAAAGAAAUGGCGCUGACCCAGGGAACACAAUACUGUAUAUGGUCUUUCUGUGGGACCCAGCAAAAGACAUCAAGAGGCCUGAACAGAUGUUGGCCUGCAGAACACAACUCUGCUGUUCCAUGGAUGUCUGACUUCUACCAUGUUAUUAAAGGGAUAGUUCACUCAAAAACAUCAUUUACACCCUCAUGACAUUUCAAAACUGUAUGACAUUUUGUUCAGCUGAAGACAGAAAGUAGUUCUUCCAUUGGUCCCCAUUCACUUUUUGUAUUCCCCUAUUUAUGGUAGCAUAUACUUUACUUUAAUACCUCUUGGUUUGUAUUUGAGAGUAUAUGACUUUAAUAUUAGUCGUGCAGAGAAGGUUUGUAUGCUUUAACAUUGUAUAUUUUUUAAUAAAUAAUAAAGCAACGUAACAGAAUGUUGCAAUAAUUGAUUGCAGG